rnacentral:rRNA from 1 species
UACGAAGGGGGCUAGCGUUGUUCGGAAUUACUGGGCGUAAAGCGCACGUAGGCGGAUACUUAAGUUAGGGGUGAAAUCCCAGAGCUCAACUCUGGAACUGCCUUUAAUACUGGGUAUCUCGAGUCCGGAAGAGGUGAGUGGAAUUCCGAGUGUAGAGGUGAAAUUCGUAGAUAUUCGGAGGAACACCAACGGCGAAGGCAGCACUCUGGGCUGGAACUGACGCUGAGGAGCGAAAGCGUGGGUAGCAAACAGG